CCAUAUCUCGCUGAAACACCGGAUCUCGUUGGAUCACCAAAGUUUAGCAACGUCAUGCUUGGCCAGUACUUGGAUGGGUGACCACUUGGAUA